rnacentral:rRNA from 1 species
CCGGGUUUGAUUCCCGCCGGACCCGGACUGCUAUCAGAGUGAGAUUUAAGCCAUGCGAGGUCAAAGGUAUGAAAUAAUACGUGGCGAACGGGCUCAGGUAACACGUAGUCAACAUGCCCAGAGGACGUGGAUAACCCUCGGGAAACUGAGGGAUAAACCCGCGGAUAGGUCAUAAAUUACUGGAAUGUGUUAUGGCCCAAAUCUAUAUGGCCUCUGGAUUGGACUGCGGGCCGAUCAGGCUGUUGGUGAGGUAAUGGCCCACCAAACCUUUUACCGGUACGGGCUCUGAGAGGAGGAGCCCGGAGAUGGGCACUGAGACAAGGGCCCAGGCCCUAUGGGGCGCAGCAGGCGCGAAACCUCUGCAAUAGGCGAAAGCCUGACAGGGUUACUCUGAGUGAUUCCCGCUAAGGGAAUCUUUUGGCAUCUCUAAAAAUGGUGCAGAAUAAGGGGUGGGCAAGUCUGGUGUCAGCCGCCGCGGUAAUACCAGCACCCCGAGUGGUCGGGACGAUUAUUGGGCCUAAAGCAUCCGUAGCCGGUCUUGCAAGUCUUCCGUUAAAUCCAGCUGCUUAACAGAUGGGCUGCGGAGGAUACUACAAGGCUAGGAGGCGGGAGAGGCAAGCGGUACUCAGUGGGUAGGGGUAAAAUCCUCUGAUCCAUUGAAGACCACCAGUGGCGAAGGCGGCUUGCCAGAACGCGCUCGACGGUGAGGGAUGAAAGCUGGGGGAGCAAACCGGAUUAGAUACCCGGGUAGUCCCAGCUGUAAACGAUGCAGACUCGGUGAUGGGCCGGCUUUAUGCCGGCUCAGUGCCGCAGGGAAGCCGUUAAGUCUGCCGCCUGGGGAGUACGGUCGCAAGNNNAAACUUAAAGNGAAUUGGCGGGGGA